rnacentral:rRNA from 1 species
UGGGGAAUUUUGCGCAAUGGGCGAAAGCCUGACGCAGCGACGCCGCGUGUGCGAUGAAGGCCUUUGGGUCGUAAAGCACUGUCGACCGGGACGAAAACUCGCGAGCUAAUAUCUCGCGAGCUUGACGGUACCGGUAAAGGAAGCACCGGCUAACUCUGUGCCAGCAGCCGCGGUAAUACAGAGGGUGCAAACGUUGCUCGGAAUUAUUGGGCGUAAAGCGCGUGUAGGCGGCUCGUUAAGUCGGUUGUGAAAGCCCAUGGCUCAACCAUGGAAGGGCGUCCGAAACUGGCGAGCUAGAGUCCCGAAGAGGAUGGCGGAAUUCCCAGUGUAGAGGUGAAAUUCGUAGAUAUUGGGAGGAACACCGGCGGCGAAGGCGGCCAUCUGGGAGGGCACUGACGCUGAGACGCGAAAGCGUGGGGAGCAAACAG